rnacentral:rRNA from 1 species
GUGGGGAAUUUUGGACAAUGGGCGCAAGCCUGAUCCAGCAAUGCCGCGUGCAGGAAGAAGGCCUUCGGGUUGUAAACUGCUUUUGUACGGAACGAAACGGUCCGGGUUAAUACCCUGGGCUAAUGACGGUACCGUAAGAAUAAGCACCGGCUAACUACGUGCCAGCAGCCGCGGUAAUACGUAGGGUGCAAGCGUUAAUCGGAAUUACUGGGCGUAAAGCGUGCGCAGGCGGUUUUGUAAGACAGGCGUGAAAGCGCCGGGCUCAACGUGGGAAUUGCGCUUGUGACUGCAAGGCUGGAGUGCGGCGGAGGGGGAUGGAAUUCCGCGUGUAGCAGUGAAAUGCGUAGAUAUGCGGAGGAACACCGAUGGCGAAGGCAAUCCCCUGGGCCUGCACUGACGCUCAUGCACGAAAGCGUGGGGAGCAAACAGGAUUAGAUACCCCGGUAGUCC